rnacentral:misc_RNA from 1 species
UUAAGUUCAGCGGGUAUUCCUACCUGAUCCGAGGUCAACCUUCAGAAGUUGGGUGUUUUACGGCGUGGCCGCGCCGCUCUCCAGUUGUGAGGUGUUAGCUACUACGCAAUGGAAGCUGCGGCGGGACCGCCACUGUAUUUGGGGGACGGCGUGUGCCCACGGGGGGCUCCGCCGAUCCCCAACGCCAGGCCCGGGGGCCU